CUUCCCUUGGAUCCUCGCCGCCCUUUGGCCUGCUCGCCUCCUCUGCUUCGUUGGAGUAGGGAGGACGACGCACCUCUGCUCGCUGCGUUGACCGCGCCUUCCUCGCCUACGUGGACCGCGACCACGACUUAGGCCCAGCGCGCCAGCCUCCCUUGCCGGCCUCACCUCACCGUCGAACCGGGCCGUGGCCCAUGGUGAGCAGCCCCCCAACGCCCUCCUGUUUCUUUUUUUCCCGCUGUUGGGCCAGUACUUUUGGCCCGCGUAUGUUUUUUUUAGGUCCAGCGAUUUUAGCUAUUAUCCCAGGAACGUCUGUUUUACAGAAAAGUCCCUCUAGAUCAUGCAUUUAAUAACUCAGAAAUGGUGCAUCGUUUAAAAUGAUUUUAAUAUGUAAAAUGCUUAGAAUUCUGUCUAGUUUCACAUUAUGCCACUCUCAUCCAUGUUUAAAAUGUUUAAAUUGCUGUUUGAUUAAAUUUUCUCAAAUGCCACGCUAAAAUGAUUUAUUUCAUAACUAAUUAACCGUAACUCGGAAUUUAAUAAACUUUAUAUGUAAAUGGGGUGGAAAAAUGCCUAGUUUAACAUGGUGCACUUUAUUUUGCUGUUUAACAACUCUAAAAUUGUGUUUAGGGCAGAACAGUAGUAAAUUCGAAAUAUGCAUAUGAGGAUUUUCCGGAAUUCUUAUUUGUUGUUCCGGCGUCAUUUAAAUUGCCUAAAAUGUGUAGUUUACUUAUGUCUCACCUCUUGCCAUGUUAAACAACAUUUAAUAUUGUUGGGUACAUAAAUGGGAGAGAACUAAAUAAUUGAUGUGGUGUUCUGUCAAUAUGCAACUCGUUGCAUAUUGAGCUCCACUUAAUUUGUAGUAUUGUUUGUUGCACUCUGCCAUGCCAUGCCUCAUUAAACCGGACAUGCAUCAUAUACUUGAUUUUGCAUCAUGCCAUGUGUAUGUGGUGGUUGUUUACUAUGUUGUUUGUUUCUUUCCGGGUUGCUUCUCUCGUUACCUUCGGUUUCGUUCCGGAGUUGUGAGGACUCGUUCGACUACGUCCGUUUGUCUUCUUCAUGGACUCGUUCUUCUUCCUUGCGGGAUCUCAGGCAAGAUGACCAUACCCUCGAAAUCACUUCUAUCUUUGCUUGCUAGUUGUCCGUUCUAUUGCUAUGCUGUGCUACCUACCACUUGCUAUAUCAUGCCUCCCAUAUUGCCAUGUCAAGCCUUUAACCCACCUUUCCCAGCAAACCGUUGUUUGGCUAUGUUACCGCUUUUGCUCAGCCCCUCUUAUAGCGUUGCUAGUUGCAGGUGAAGAUGAAGUUUGUUCCAUGUUGGGACAUGGAUAUUGUUGGGAUAUCACAAUAUCUCUUAUUUAAUUAAUGCAUCUAUAUACUUGGUAAAGGGUGGAAGGCUCGGCCUUAUGCCUGGUGUUUUGUUCCACUCUUGCCGCCCUAGUUUCCGUCAUACCGGUGUUAUGUUCCUUGAUUUUGCGUUCCUUACGCGGUUGGGUGAUUUAUGGGACCCCCUUGACAGUUCGCUUUGAAUAAAACUCCUCCAGCAAGGCCCAACCUUGGUAGUACCAUUUGCCUACCUAAGCCUUUUUCCCUUGGGUUCUGCAGACUCAAGGGUCAUCUUUAUUUACCCCCGGGCCAAUUCUCCUCCGAGUGCUGGUCCAAACCGAGUGAUGUCCGGCGCCCCCUGGGCAACCAGGGUCUAUGCCAACCCGACGUCUGGCUCAUCCGGUGUGCCCUGAGAACGAGAUAUGUGCAGCUCCUAUCGAGAUUUGUCGGCACAUCGGGCGGCUUUGCUGGUCUUGUUUUACCAUGUCAAAAUGUCUUGUAAACCGGGAUUCCGAGACUGAUCGGGUCUUCCUGGGAGAAGGUUUAUCCUUCGUUGACCGUGAGAGCUUAUAAUGGGCUAAGUCGGGACACCCCUGCAGGGUAUUAUCUUUCGAGAGUCGUGCCCGCGGUUAUGUGGUAGAUGGGAAUUUGUUAAUAUCCGGUUGUAGAGAACUUGACACUCGACUUAAUUUAAAAUACAUCAACCGCAUGUGUAGCCGUGAUGGUCUCUUUUCGGCGGAGUCCGGGAAGUGAACACGGUUUUUGGGUUAUGUAUGACGUAAGUAGGAGUUCAGGAUCACUUCUUGAUCAUUGCUAGCUUCACGACCGUUCCGUUGCUUCUCUUCUCGCUCUUAUUUGCGUAUGUUAGCCACCAUAUAUGCUUAGUGCUUGCUGCAGCCCAACCUCAUUACACCACCCUUUCCUAUAAGCUUUAAUAGUCUUGAUCUCGCGGGUGUGAGAUGUUGGGGAUCGUAGCAGAAUUUAAAAAAAAUUCCUAUGCUCACCAAGAUCCAUCUAUGGAGUAUACUAGCAACGAGGGGAAAGGAGUGCAUCUACAUACCCUUGUAGAUCGCGAGCGGAAGCGUUCCAAUGAACGAGGUUGAUGGAGCCGUACUCGCCGUGAUCCAAAUCACCGAUGACCGAGUGCCGAAUGGACGGCACCUCCGCGUUCAACACACGUACGGAGCAGCGACGUUCUCCUCCUUCUUGAUCCAGCAAGGGGGGAGGAGAGGUUGAUGGAGAUCCAGCAGCACGACGGCGUGGUGGUGGAUGUAGCGGGGUCUCGGCAGGGCUUCGCCGAGCUUCUGCGAGAGGGAGAGGUGUUGCAGGGGAGGAGGGAGGCGCCCAAGGCUGUUGUGUUACUGCCCUCCCUCCCCCCCUUUAUAUAGUCCCCCUGGGAGGGGGGCGCCGGCCAAGACCCAUCUGGAGGGGGGGGCGGCGGCCAGGGGGGAGACUUGCCCCCCAAGGCAAGUGGGGCGCCCCCCCACCCUAGGGUUUCCAACCCUAGGCUAGGGGGGAGGCCCAUGGGGGGCGCCCCAGCCCACUAAGGGCUGGUUCCCUUCCCACUUCAGCCCAUGGAGCCCUCCGGGAUAGGUGGCCCCACCCGGUGGACCCCCGGGACCCUUCCGGUGGUCCCGGUACAAUACCGGUGACCCCCGAAACUUUCCCGGUGGCCGAAACUUGACUUCCUAUAUAUAAUUCUUCACCUCCGGACCAUUCCGGAACUCCUCGUGACGUCCGGGAUCUCAUCCGGGACUCCGAACAACUUUCGGGUUUCCGCAUACUCAUAUCUCUACAACCCUAGCGUCACCGAACCUUAAGUGUGUAGACCCUACGGGUUCGUGAGACAUGCAGACAUGACCGAGACGCCUCUCCGGUCAAUAACCAACAGCGGGAUCUGGAUACCCAUGUUGGCUCCCACAUGUUCCACGAUGAUCUCAUCGGAUAAACCACGAUGUCGAGGAUUCAAUCAAUCCCUUAUACAAUUCCCUUUGUCAAUCGGUAUGUUACUUGCCCGAGAUUCGAUCGUCGGUAUCCCAAUACCUUGUUCAAUCUCAUUACCGGCAAGUCUCUUUACUCGUACCGCAAUGCAUGAUCCCAUGACUAACGCCUUAGUCACAUUGAGCUCAUUAUGAUGAUGCAUUACCGAGUGGGCCCAGAGAUACCUCUCCGUCAUACGGAGUGACAAAUCCCAGUCUCGAUCCGUGCCAACCCAACAGACACUUUCGGAGAUACCCGUAGUAUACCUUUAUAGUCACCCAGUUACGUUGUGACGUUUGGCACACCCAAAGUACUCCUACGGUAUCCGGGAGUUGCACGAUCUCAUGGUCUAAGGAAAAGAUACUUGACAUUGGAAAAGCUCUAGCAAACGAACUACACGAUCUUUGAGCUAUGCUUAGGAUUGGGUCUUGUCCAUCACAUCAUUCUCCUAAUGAUGUGAUCCCGUUAUCAAUGACAUCCAAUGUCCAUAGUCAGGAAACCAUGACUAGCUGUUUGAUCAACGAGCUAGUCAACUAGAGGCUUACUAGGGACACGUUGUGGUCUAUGUAUUCACACAUGUAUUACGAUUUCCGGAUAACACAAUUAUAGCAUGAACAAUAGACAAUUAUCAUGAACAAAGAAAUAUAAUAAUAACCAUUUAUUAUUGCCUCCAGGGCAUAUUUCCAACAGUCUCCCACUUGCACUAGAGUCAAUAAUCUAGUUACAUUGUGAUGAAUCGAACACCCAUUGCGUCUUGGUGUUGAUCAUGUUUUGCUCUAGGGAGAGGUUUAGUCAACGGAUCUGCUACAUUCAGGUCCGUAUGUACUUUACAAAUAUCUGUGUCUCCAUUUUGACCACUUUCAUGAAUGGAGUUGAAGCGACGCUUGAUAUGCCUGGUCUUCCUAUGAAACCUGGGCUCCUUCGCAAGGGCAAUAGCUCCAGUGUUGUCACAGAAGAGAGUCAUCGGGCCCGACGCAUUGGGAAUCACCCCUAGGUCGGUAAUGAACUCCUUCAUCCAGACUGCUUACUGUGCUGCCUCCGAGGCUGCCAUGUACUCCGCUUCACAUGUAGAUCCCGCCACGACGCUUUGCUUGCAACUGCACCAGCUUACUGCUCCUCCAUUCAAAAUAUACCCGUAUCCGGUUUGUGACUUCGAGUCAUCCAGAUCUGUGUCGAAGCUAGCGUCGACGUAACCCUUUACGACGAGCUCUUCGUCACCUCCAUAAACGAGAAACAUAUCCUUAGUCCUCUUCAGGUACUUCAGGAUAUUCUUGACCGCUGUCCAGUGUUCCAUGCCGGGAUUACUUUGGUACCUUCCCACUAAACUCACGGCAAGGUUUACAUCAGGUCUGGUACACAGCAUGGCAUACAUAAUAGACCCUAUGGCCGAGGCAUAGGGGAUGACACUCAUCUUUUCUCUAUCUUCUGCCGUGGUCGGGCAUUGAGCCGUGCUCAAUUGCACACAUUGCAAUACAGGCAAGAACCCCUUCUUGGACUGAUCCAUAUUGAACUUCUUCAAUAUCUUGUCAAGGUACGUACUCUGUGAAAGACCAAUGAGGCGUCUUGAUCUAUCUCUAUAGAUCUUGAUGCCUAAUAUAUAAGCAGCUUCUCCAAGGUCCUUCAUAGAAAAACACUUAUUCAAAUAGGCCUUUAUACUUUCCAAGAAUUCUAUAUCAUUUCCCACCAAUAGUAUGUCAUCCACAUACAAUAAGAGAAAUGCUACACAGCUCCCACUCACUUUCUUGUAAGCACAGGCUUCUCCAUAAGUCUGUGUAAACCCAAACGCUUUGAUCAUCUCAUCAAAGCGAAUGUUCCAACUCCGAGAUGCUUGCACCAGCCCAUAGAUAGAGCGCUGGAGCUUGCAUACUUUGUUAGCAUUCUUAGGAUCGACAAAACCUUCCGGCUGCAUCAUAUACAACUCUUCCUUAAGGAAGCCGUUAAGGAAUGCCGUUUUGACGUCCAUCUGCCAUAUCUCAUAAUCAUAGUAUGCGGCAAUUGCUAACAUGAUUCGGACGGACUUCAGCUUCGCUACGGGUGAGAAAGUCUCAUCGUAGUCAACCCCUUGAACUUGUCGAUAACCCUUAGCGACAAGUCGAGCUUUAUAGAUGGUCACAUUACCAUCCGCGUCUGUCUUCUUCUUAAAGAUCCAUUUAUUUUCUAUGGCUCGCCGAUCAUCGGGCAAGUCAGUCAAAGUCCAUACUUCGUUUUCAUACAUGGAUCCUAUCUCGGAUUUCAUGGCUUCUAGCCAUUUGUCGGAAUCCGGGCCCGCCAUCGCUUCUUCAUAGUUCGAAGGUUCACCGUUGUCUAACAACAUGAUUUCCAGGACAGGGUUGCCGUACCACUCUGGUGCGGAACGUGUCCUUGUGGACCUACGAAGUUCAGCAGUAACUUGAUCCGAAGCUUCAUGAUCAUCAUCAUUAACUUCCUCCCCAGUCGGUGUAGGCACCACAGGAACAUCUUCCCGCGCUGUGCUACUUUCCGGUUCGGAAGGGGUGACUAUCACCUCAUCAAGUUCCACUUUCCUCCCACUCAAUUCUUUCGAGAGAAACUCUUUCUCCAGAAAGGACCCGUUCUUUGCAACGAAAAUCUUGCCUUCGGAUCUGAGGUAGAAGGUAUACCCAAUAGUUUCCUUAGGGUAUCCUAUGAAGACGCAUUUUUCCGACUUGGGUUCGAGCUUUUCAGGUUGAAGUUUCUUGACAUAAGCAUCGCAUCCCCAAACUUUUAGAAACGACAGCUUAGGUUUCUUCCCAAACCAUAAUUCAUACGGUGUCGUCUCAACGGAUUUUGACGGAGCCCUAUUUAAAGUGAAUGCGGCUUUCUCUAAAGCAUAUCCCCAAAAUGAGAGCGGUAAAUCGGUAAGUGACAUCAUAGAUCGCACCAUAUCCAAUAGAGUGCGAUUACGACGUUCGGACACACCGUUUCGCUGAAGUGUUCCAGGCGGCGUGAGUUGUGAAACGAUACCACAUUUCCAUAAGUGCACACCAAAUUCGUGACUUAAAUAUUCUCCACCAUGAUCUGAUCGUAAGAAUUUUAUUUUUCUGUCACGUUGAUUCUCAACCUCACUCUGAAAUUCCUUGAACUUUUCAAAGGUUUCAGACUUGUGUUUCAUUAGGUAGACAUACCCAUAUCUACUUAAGUCAUCAGUGAGAGUGAGAACAUAACGAUAUCCUCCGCGAGCCUCAACACUCAUUGGACCGCACACAUCGGUAUGUAUGAUUUCCAAUAAGUUGGUUGCUCGCCCCAUUGUUCCGGAGAACGGAGUCUUGGUCUUCUUACCCAUGAGGCAUGGUUCGCACGUGUCAAAUGAUUCGUAAUCAAGAGACUCCAAAAGUCCAUCUGCAUGGAGCUUCUUCAUGCGCUUGACACCAAUGUGACCAAGGCGGCAGUGCCACAAGUGUGUGGGACUAUCGUUAUCAACUUUACAUCUUUUGGUAUUCACACUAUGAAUAUGUGUAACAUCACGUUCGAGAUUCAUCAAGAAUAAACCAUUGACCAGCGGGGCAUGACCAUAAAACAUAUCUCUCAUAUAAAUAGACAAACCAUUAUUCUCGGAUUUAAAUGAGUAGCCAUCUCGAAUUAAACGAGAUCCAGAUACAAUGUUCAUGCUCAAAGCUGGCACUAAAUAACAAUUAUUGAGGUUUAAAACUAAUCCCGUAGGUAGAUGCAGAGGUAGCGUGCCGACGGCGAUCACAUCGACCUUGGAACCAUUCCCGACGCGCAUCGUCACCUCGUCCUUCGCCAGUCUCCGUUUAUUCCGUAGUUCCUGUUUUGAGUUACAAAUAUGAGCAACCGCACCGGUAUCAAAUACCCAGGAGCUACUACGAGUACUGGUAAGGUACACAUCAAUUACAUGUAUAUCACAUAUACCUUUGGUGUUGCCGGCCUUCUUGUCCGCUAAGUAUUUGGGGCAGUUCCGCUUCCAGUGACCACUUCCCUUGCAAUAAAAGCACUCAGUCUCAGGCUUGGGUCCAUUCCUUGGCUUCUUCCCGGCAACUGGCUUACCGGGCGCGGCAACUCCCUUGCCGUCCUUCUUGAAGUUCUUCUUACCCUUGCCCUUCUUGAACUUAGUGGUUUUAUUCACCAUCAACACUUGAUGUUCUUUUCUGAUCUCCACCUCCGCUGAUUUCAGCAUCGAAUAUACCUCAGGAAUGGUCUUUUCCAUCCCCUGCAUAUUGAAGUUCAUCACAAAGCUCUUGUAGCUUGGUGGAAGCGACUGAAGGAUUCUUUCAAUGACCGCGUCAUCCGGGAGAUUAACUCCCAGCUGAGACAAGCGGUUGUGAAACCCAAACAUUCUGAGUAUGUGCUCACUUACAGAACUAUUCUCCUCCAUUUUACAGCUGAAGAACUUGUCGGAGACUUCAUAUCUCUCGACCCGGGCAUGAGCUUGGAAAACCAUUUUCAGCUCUUCGAACAUCUCAUAUGCUCCAUGCUUCUCAAAACGCUUUUGGAGCCCCGGUUCUAAACUGUAAAGCAUGCCGCACUGAACGAGGGAGUAAUCAUCAGCACGUGAUUGCCAAGCGUUCAUAACGUCUUGGUUCUCUGGGAUUGGUGCUUCACCUAGCGGUGCUUCUAAGACAUAAUCUUUCUUGGCUGCUAUGAGGAUGAUCCUCAGGUUCCGGGCCUAGUCCGUAUAGUUGCUGCCAUCAUCUUUCAGCUUGGUUUUCUCUAGGAACGCGUUGAAGUUGAGGACAACGUGGGCCAUUUGAUCUACAAGACAUAGUGUAAAGAUUUUAGACUAAGUUCAUGAUAAUUAAGUUCAUCUAAUCAAAUUACUCAAUGAACUCCCACUCAGAUAGACAUCCCUCUAGUCAUCUAAGUGAAACAUGAUCCGAGUUAACUUGGCCGUGUCCGAUCAUCACGUGAGACAGACUAGUCAAGAUCGGUGAACAUCUCCAUGUUGAUCGUAUCUUCUAUACGACUCAUGCUCGACCUUUCGGUCCUCCGUGUUCCGAGGCCAUGUCUGUACAUGCUAGGCUCGUCAAGUCAACCUAAGUGUAUUGCGUGUGUUCCGAGGCCAUGUCUGUACAUGCUAGGCUCGUCAACACCCGUUGUAUGAGAACGUUAGAGUCUAUCACACCCGAUCAUCACGUGGUGCUUCGAAACAACGAACCUUCGCAACGGUGCACAGUCAGGGGGAACACUUUCUUGAAAUUAUUAUAAGGGAUCAUCUUACUUACUACCGUCGUUCUAAGCAAAUAAGAUGCAAAACAUGAUAAACAUCACAUGCAAUCAAAUAGUGACAUGAUAUGGCCAAUAUCAUUUGCUCCUUUGAUCUCCAUCUUCGGGGCACCAUGAUCAUCUUCGUCACCGGCAUGACACCAUGAUCUCCAUCAUUGUGUCUUCAUGAAGUUGUCACGCCAACGAUUACUUCUACUUACAUGGCUAACGCGUUUAGCAAUAAAGUAAAGUAAUUUACAUGGCGUUAUUCAAUGACACGCAGGUCAUACAAAAUAAUAAAGACAACUCCUAUGGCUCCUGCCGGUUGUCAUACUCAUCGACAUGCAAGUCGUGAUUCCUAUUACAAGAAUAUGAUCAAUCUCAUACAUCACAUAUAUCAUUCAUCACAUCUUCUGGCCAUAUCAUAUCACAUAGCACAUGCUGCAAAAACAAGUUAGACGUCCUCUAAUUGUUGUUGCAAGUUUUUACGUGGCUUGUAGGUUUCUAGCAAGAACGUUUCUUACCUACGUAUGACCACAACGUGAUAUGCCAAUUUCUAUUUACCCUUCAUAAGGACCCUUUUCAUCGAAUCCGUUCCGACUAAAGUGGGAGAGACAGACACCCGCUAGCCACCUUAUGCAACUAGUGCAUGUCAGUCGGUGGAACCUGUCUCACGUAAGCGUACGUGUAAGGUCGGUCCGGGCCGCUUCAUCCCACAAUGCCGCCGAAACAAGAUAAGACUAGUAGCGGCAAGAAGAAUUGGCAACAUCAACGCCCACAACUACUUUGUGUUCUACUCGUGCAUAGUAACUACGCAUAGGCCUGGCUCAUGAUGCCACUGUUGCGGAUCGUAGCAGAAUUUAAAAAAAUUUCCUACGCUCACCAAGAUCCAUCUAUGGAGUAUACUAGCAAUGAGGGGAAAGGAGUGCAUCUACAUACCAUUGUAGAUCGCGAGCGGAAGCGUUCCUAUGAACGAGGUUGAUGGAGUCGUACUCGUCGUGAUCCAAAUCACCGAUGACCGAGUGCCGAACGGACGGCACCUCCGCGUUCAACACACGUACGGAGCAGCGACGUUCUCCUCCUUCUUGAUCCAGCAAGGGGGAAGGAGAGGUUGAUGGAGAUCCAGCAGCACGACGGCGUGGUGGUGGAUGUAGCGGGGUCUCGGCAGGGCUUCGCCGAGCUUCUGCGAGAGGGAGAGGUGUUGCAGGGGAGGAGGGAGGCGCCCAAGGCUGUUGUGUUGCUGCCCUCCCUCCCCCCCCNNNNNNNNNNNNNNNNNNNNNNNNNNNNNNNNNNNNNNNNNNNNNNNNNNNNNNNNNNNNNNNNNNNNNNNNNNNNNNNNNNNNNNNNNNNNNNNNNNNNNNNNNNNNNNNNNNNNNNNNNNNNNNNNNNNNNNNNNNNNNNNNNNNNNNNNNNNNNNNNNNNNNNNNNNNNNNNNNNNNNNNNNNNNNNNNNNNNNNNNNNNNNNNNNNNNNNNNNNNNNNNNNNNNNNNNNNNNNNNNNNNNNNNNNNNNNNNNNNNNNNNNNNNNNNNNNNNNNNNNNNNNNNNNNNNNNNNNNNNNNNNNNNNNNNNNNNNNNNNNNNNNNNNNNNNNNNNNNNNNNNNNNNNNNNNNNNNNNNNNNNGCCAAGACCCAUCUGGAGGGGGGGGGGGCCAGGGGGAGACUUGCCCCCCAAGGCAAGUGGGGCGCCCCCCACCGUAAGGUUUCCAACCCUAGGCGCAGGGGGGAGGCCCAUGGGGGGCGCCCCAGCCCACUAAGGGCUGGUUCCCUUCCCACUUAAGCCCAUGGGGCCCUCCGGGAUAGGUGGCCCCACCCGGUGGACCCCCGGGACCCUUCCGGUGGUCCCGGUACAAUACCGGUGACCCCCGAAACUUUCCCGGUGGCCGAAACUUGACUUCCUAUAUAUAAUUCUUCACCUCCGGACCAUUCCGGAACUCCUCGUGACGUCCGGGAUCUCAUCCGGGACUCUGAACAACUUUCGGGUUUCCGCAUACUCAUAUCUCUACAACCCUAGCGUCACCGAACCUUAAGUGUGUAGACCCUACGGGUUCGGGAGACAUGCAGACAUGACCGAGACGCCUCUCCGGUCAAUAACCAACAGCGGGAUCUGGAUACCCAUGUUGGCUCCCACAUGUUCCACGAUGAUCUCAUCGAAUGAACCACGAUGUCGAGGAUUCAAUCAAUCCCGUAUACAAUUCCCUUUGUCAAUCGGUAUGUUACUUGCCCGAGAUUCGAUCGUCGGUAUCCCAAUACCUUGUUCAAUCUCGUUACCGGCAAGUCUCUUUACUCGUACCGCAAUGCAUGAUCCCGUGACUAACGCCUUAGUCACAUUGAUCUCAUUAUGAUGAUGCAUUACCGAGUGGGCCCAGAGAUACCUCUCCGUCAUACGGAGUGACAAAUCCCAGUCUCGAUCCGUGCCAACCCAACAGACACUUUCGGAGAUACUCGUAGUAUACCUUUAUAGUCACCCAGUUACGUUGUGACAUUUGGCACACCCAAAGUACUCCUACGGUAUCCGGGAGUUGCAUGAUCUCAUGGUCUAAGGAAAAGAUACUUGACAUUGGAAAAGCUCUAGCAAACGAAUUACACGAUCUUUGAGCUAUGCUUAGGAUUGGGUCUUGUCCAUCACAUCAUUCUCCUAAUGAUGUGAUCCCGUUAUCAAUGACAUCCAAUGUCCAUAGUCAGGAAACCAUGACUAUCUGUUUGAUCAACGAGCUAGUCAACUAGAGGCUUACUAGGGACACGUUGUGGUCUAUGUAUUCACACAUGUAUUACGAUUUCCGGAUAACACAAUUAUAGCAUGAACAAUAGACAAUUAUCAUGAACAAAGAAAUAUAAUAAUAACCAUUUAUUAUUGCCUCUAGGGCAUAUUUCCAACAUGAGAUUGCUGAGUCCUCAUGACUCACCAGAUACUUCCAAACAGUUGCAGGUGCCGACGAUCCCAGUGCAGGCGAUGCUACCCAGCUCAAGUGAGAGCUCGAUGAAGUACUUGGUCGUUACUAUGUUUCUCUUCCUGUUGAUCAGUAGUGGAGCCCAGUUGGGAUGAUCGGGGAUCUAGCAGUUGGGUUGUCUUCUUUUCUUUUGGUUCCGUAGUCGGACCUAUGUGUGUACUCUGAUUGUUGUAUGAUUUAUUUAUGUAUUGUGUGAAGUGGCGAUUGUAAGCCAACUCUUUAUCCCAUUCUUGUUCAUUACAUGGGAUUGUGUGAAGAUGACCCUUCUUGCGACAAAACCACAAUGUGGUUAUGCCUCUAAGUCGUGCCUCGACACGUGGGAGAUAUAGUCGCAUCAUGGGCGUUACAGCUAUAGAGCUGUUCGGACUUUUUCGGCAACCCAUAUGUUGCCGUAUGAAGCCCCUGGAGAUUUGUGCCGAGGUGUCUGCGUGAAACAACCGAAGAAGCAAGGUACGCUUGUAUGCGGAAAAGCAAAUACUGAGGAUUAUGUUCACUAAAAUCUGAUUGCUACGUCGAACGUAAUCUUACAGAUUAUGACACCUCCACCCCGGCCAUUUUAUGUGCCAGGGGUCAAGGGCUGAGGCAAAAAGGCUUUGUACAGGUUUCAAAUAGAGUUUUUGGUCUACAAAAAAUCGUGUGGACCUCCUGUCGCACGUCUGCGCCGCCUGUGCCUCCGCGAAAAGGCUUCCUUAGAGGGAACAGUCCCUGGCUAUUUGUAGGAAAACCGGGCUCAUAGAGAGUCCUUUCAGGUCCGUAGGACGGACAGGUAUUGAUUCGCCUGUGGUAAAAAAGGUAAAAAUAAUAGUUAGAAAAAGGAGAAAAGGCUAAAGUCCGGAUGAACCGCUUUGUAGGCCUGUCCGUAUUAUGCAUCCGCCGAUUACCAUGGUAUUUUGAGUGCAU
rnacentral:lncRNA from 1 species